AAAUUGCUAUUUUGUAGAAAAAGAUUAUCUUUUUACCCAAAUCAGAUUCUUCACUCUCUGCGCAGCGGCAGCGAUCUCACGCUAGCUCAAAUUGCUCGGAAUCAACUUUCUCCGAUCUUCCUCGUCUGAUUUCGUUUCUAAAUCGAUUGGUGACCAUGCCCGUUCUUUACGAGCAAGAUAAGCACGUGUCUUCCGCUAUUAUGACAGGACAGGAGAGAGGUGUGCUCAGAUGUCAGGAACGAACGUCACUACUUCAUCACUGGAAGCUCACAAAGGAGCAGAUAGAAUUGGUUGACAAAGCAGGCUUUGGUUGGUUCAGGCUAAUAGGAUCAAUCAGUUUAAACAACUCUCUAAUCUCCGCGCUCGUCGAGCGAUGGAGAAGAGAAACCAACACCUUCCACUUCCCCUGUGGUGAAAUGACAAUCACUCUCGACGAAGUCUCCUUGCUUCUCGGUCUUGCUGUCGACGGGAAGCCUGUGGUUGUUGGUGUCAAAGAAAGAGACGAAGACCCUUCUCAGGUUUGUCAGAGACUCUUGGGGAAGCUGCCUCAAGGUGAGCUGAGCGGGAACCGAGUGACCGCGAGAUGGUUGAAGGAGAGUUUCGCGGAGUGUCCUAAGGGAGCUACGAAGGAGGAGGUCGAGUUUCACACGCGUGCUUAUCUUAUAUACCUUGUCGGGAGCACGGUUUUCGCGACUACGGAUCCUAGUAAGAUCUCUGUUGAUUACCUUCUUUUAUUUGAGGAUUUUGAGAGAGCUGGGGAGUAUGCUUGGGGUGCUGCGGCGUUGGCGUUCUUGUAUAGGCAGAUUGGUAAUGCAUCUCAGCGGUCUCAGAGUAUUAUUGGUGGAUGUUUGACACUCUUGCAGUGUUGGAGUUACUUUCACCUGAAUAUUGACCGGCCAAAGAGGACCACUCGUCAGUUUCCCCUGGCACUUUUGUGGAAAGGAAGGCAACAGAGUCGGUCCAAGAAUGACCUGUUUAAGUAUCGCAAGGCACUUGACGAUCUAGAUCCAUCAAAUGUUAGUUGGUGUCCCUUCGAAGGAGAUCUUGACAUUGUGCCACAGAGUUUCAAAGAUAAUCUACUACUUGGUAGGUCAAGAACGAAACUGAUUGCUCCGAAAGUAGUGGAAUGGCACUUGCCAGAUCGAUGCAUGAAGCAGUUUGGACUUUGCCAAGUUAUCCCCGGAGAAGUUCCUCACAGAAAAAGCGAGAAAACCCCCGACGAAGAUUUACUGGAAGACAUGAACACAGCAGAUGAAGAAUGGAUGAGAAGAAGGGAAAACAUUGUGGAGAGUGCCGGAGGCAAUGUUGAUGAAACUGAAUAUAUGCAGUGGUUCAAUAGCAUCACAGUCCCGAAGCUUCAUAGAGAUACAAGUCUCGAAGCUGAUAUAAUGAACGUGCAAGCUGCUAUACUCCAGUUCGACGAGGUGGCUUCAACGUUGUCGCUAGAGGAUUUACAUCCAGAGGAGAGAGAAGCAGUUGAAGAAGCAGUGAUGUGUAUGUCAAAUGCCUUGAGAGUAGGAGAUUGGUACGAGGCCCCGACAACAAAUAAACGCAAACGAAGAGAGGAACAAACGGAGUGCAGCGAAUGAAAAGACGAAGAAAAAGAGAUCCUUUUUGUUUUUCUUGCUGAUCAGAUGGUUUAGGCAUUGACUUGGAGACGACAGAAGAUAGGUUUCAACUGUUUUAAGGGUCUAACGACAGAUUUAACAUGGCAGCUGCAGAUUUUGGAAGAUCAAAGGUGAUAUUAAUUUAGUUUCAGCUCAACAAGAGCAUUAGAUGAUAGAUUCUGGUAAUGUUAAAACGUUAAUUAUUAUGUAAGAAUCUUUUUAUAUGGUGUUCUCAAUAUUUCAAAUA